UCAAAUGCGUGCCGUGAAUGAGUAUCAUUUACGACAUGUAUUAAAUGCUUGCCGUAAAUCUUGCAAAUUUUUAAAGAAAAUUACGGCAUGUUUGUAAAGAACGCCGUAAAAUCACACUUUUAUUGAAAUUUACGGCGUUUUCCCGUUGCACGCUGUGAUUUCAGCCCACAAAAAAAUUGUCCCAUUUAUAAAAUUGGCCCGUUACGAAACUCAGACUUCUCCCUCGUCUCUCUCACUCUCCUCACAACGUACAUUGCUCCGGCCUCGUCUCUCAAAACGCAGUGACCUCCUUCUACCUUCCAGCUCCGGCCUCCUCCUACCUCCCAUUGCUCUGGCCUCCUCCGCUCUCCCAUUGCUCCGACCACAACCAUUAUCUGUUAUGCCACAUUAUUCAUAUUAGUAAGGCUGAAGUGUUGCUAUCAAGAAACGUGCACGUUAGUACAGAAGCUUCUGGCUGUCCUCAAGCAGUUUGGGGCUGGAGGAUAUGGAUGUUCAGAUAAGUAGUUAGUGAUGAGGCAGAACUAGUGCUACAUCAGGAACUUGAGAAGCUUUACAUAUAAACACGUAUGCAGAGGAUUGUAUCUAAAUCACUAGUCUAUGACUCGAUUUAAAACUAAAAACCUUAUCUAUCCAAUCCAAAAGAACUGACUGGCAGACGACUCUAAACUACUCUAAAUGCAACGAAAAUUUACAGAGACUACCUAGACACACUAAACUAAAGGCUGACAAGGUUUCACAAUUUUUGGGGUUUAUUUGGUAUGUCAAAUAAAUAAAAGAAAACGAAGAACAGAAAGGUGACGAAAAUAAAAGAACUGUUUUUGGGUUUUUAUUUUAGGGUUUUGAAAUAAAUGAUAAAAGGCUAGCUAGGAACUACUUCUAACCACUAGACCAUGAUUACACCUAUGAUAUGUUUACCAACUUGUUUCAAUUCAUUCGGAUAUCCUUACCCAAGCUAAGCCAAUGAUGUGUUGAUCUUAA